rnacentral:rRNA from 1 species
AUUGAACGCUGGCGGAACGCUUUACACAUGCAAGUCGAACGGCAGCACAGGUGCUUGCACCUGGUGGCGAGUGGCGAACGGGUGAGUAAUGCAUCGGAACGUACCGUGUAGCGGGGGAUAACGCAUCGAAAGGUGUGCUAAUACCGCAUACGUCCUGAGGGAGAAAGUGGGGGAUCGCAAGACCUCACGCUAUACGAGCGGCCGAUGUCCGAUUAGCUAGUUGGUGAGGUAAAGGCUCACCAAGGCGACGAUCGGUAGCUGGUCUGAGAGGACGACCAGCCACACUGGGACUGAGACACGGCCCAGACUCCUACGGGAGGCAGCAGUGGGGAAUUUUGGACAAUGGGCGAAAGCCUGAUCUGGCCAUUCCGCGUGAGUGAAGAAGGCCUUCGGGUUGUAAAGCUCUUUUGUUAGGGAGGAAAUCCUAGAGGCUAAUAUCCAUUGGGGAUGACAGUACCUAAAGAAUAAGGACCGGCUAACUACGUGCCAGCCGCCGCAGUAAGAC